GACGAACACUGGCGGCGUGCCUAAUACAUGCAAGUCGACCUUAGUUGCGACCGGGUGAGUAACACUUGGGUAACCUGCCCAUCAGAAGGGGAUAACACUUGGAAACAGGUGCUAAUACCGUAUACUGAUGGAUGGACCCGCGGUGCAUUAGCUAGUUGGUGCUGUAACGGCUCACCAAGUCCACGAUGCAUAGCCGACCUGGGAGGGUGAUCGGCAACAGUGGAACUGAGACACAGCCCAAACUCCUACGGGAGGCAGCAGUAGGGAAUCUUCGGCAAUGGACGAAAGUCUGACCGAGCAACGCCGCGUGAGUGAAGAAGGUUUUCGGAUCGUAAAACUCUGUUGUUAGAGAAGCGGUAUCUAACCAGAAAGCCACGGCUAACUACGUGCCAGCCGCCGCGGUAAUAC
rnacentral:rRNA from 1 species